AUAAUGGGUCAGCGACUUAUAUUCUGUAGCAAGGUUAACCGAAUAGGGGAGCCGAAGGGAAACCGAGUCUUAACUGGGCGUUAAGUUGCAGGGUAUAGACCCGAAACCCGGUGAUCUAGCCAUGGGCAGGUUGAAGGUUGGGUAACACUAACUGGAGGACCGAACCGACUAAUGUUGAAAAAUUAGCGGAUGACUUGUGGCUGGGGGUGAAAGGCCAAUCAAACCGGGAGAUAGCUGGUUCUCCCCGAAAGCUAUUUAGGUAGCGCCUCGUGAAUUCAUCUCCGGGGGUAGAGCACUGUUUCGGCAAGGGGGUCAUCCCGACUUACCAACCCGAUGCAAACUGCGAAUACCGGAGAAUGUUAUCACGGGAGACACACGGCGGGUGCUAACGUCCGUCGUGAAGAGGGAAACAACCCAGACCGCCAGCUAAGGUCCCAAAGUCAUGGUUAAGUGGGAAACGAUGUGGGAAGGCCCAGACAGCCAGGAUGUUGGCUUAGAAGCAGCCAUCAUUUAAAGAAAGCGUAAUAGCUCACUGGUCGAGUCGGCCUGCGCGGAAGAUGUAACGGGGCUAAACCAUGCACCGAAGCUGCGGCAGCGACGCUGAUGCGUUGUUGGGUAGGGGAGCGUUCUGUAAGCCUGCGAAGGUGUGCUGUGAGGCAUGCUGGAGGUAUCAGAAGUGCGAAUGCUGACAUAAGUAACGAUAAAGCGGGUGAAAAGCCCGCUCGCCGGAAGACCAAGGGUUCCUGUCCAACGUUAAUCGGGGCAGGGUGAGUCGACCCCUAAGGCGAGGCCGAAAGGCGUAGUCGAUGGGAAACAGGUUAAUAUUCCUGUACUUGGUGUUACUGCGAAGGGGGGACGGAGAAGGCUAUGUUGGCCGGGCGACGGUUGUCCCGGUUUAAGCGUGUAGGCUGGUUUUCCAGGCAAAUCCGGAAAAUCAAGGCUGAGGCGUGAUGACGAGGCACUACGGUGCUGAAGCAACAAAUGCCCUGCUUCCAGGAAAAGCCUCUAAGCAUCAGGUAACAUCAAAUCGUACCCCAAACCGACACAGGUGGUCAGGUAGAGAAUACCAAGGCGCUUGAGAGAACUCGGGUGAAGGAACUAGGCAAAAUGGUGCCGUAACUUCGGGAGAAGGCACGCUGAUAUGUAGGUGAAGUCCCUCGCGGAUGGAGCUGAAAUCAGUCGAAGAUACCAGCUGGCUGCAACUGUUUAUUAAAAACACAGCACUGUGCAAACACGAAAGUGGACGUAUACGGUGUGACGCCUGCCCGGUGCCGGAAGGUUAAUUGAUGGGGUCAGCGCAAGCGAAGCUCUUGAUCGAAGCCCCGGUAAACGGCGGCCGUAACUAUAACGGUCCUAAGGUAGCGAAAUUCCUUGUCGGGUAAGUUCCGACCUGCACGAAUGGCGUAAUGAUGGCCAGGCUGUCUCCACCCGAGACUCAGUGAAAUUGAACUCGCUGUGAAGAUGCAGUGUACCCGCGGCAAGACGGAAAGACCCCGUGAACCUUUACUAUAGCUUGACACUGAACAUUGAGCCUUGAUGUGUAGGAUAGGUGGGAGGCUUUGAAGUGUGG
rnacentral:rRNA from 1 species